GGCGCCCGCCCGCCCUCCCGCCCGGGAGGUGCCGGUACCUGUGUCCGCUGGCCGCGGUGCCUGCGCGCCGCUGCGCCCCUGCGGCGCGUCCGGCGGAGCGGUGCGGCGCGACUAGCAGCGCCGAGCAGGAGGAAACGGCAUCCUUUGCAGGAGGCAGCUCACAUUUUGUGAGGCUCCACGAGGGACCACAAACAGGCGGUUCUGGCUGCACUAGGGAGUGAAGCAAAAGGUUUCUCAUCGGCUCAGCCACUUGUUUGGUUGCAGGGAGGAUGCCUAGAUGCAGAUUAGGAGCCAGCAGUCCCAUCAGUGAAAUGUAAGUAGUGGCUGGAGCCUUGUCUGUGUGAAGGAUCCUGCCAGCACAGCUGUACCACUGACAGCAGUGGAAUAUUUUGCUCUAGUUCUCUAGAGGAAUCAAAGUGUGUAUUUUGUCUCUUGCUCUCUCUUCUUCUGUUGCUCCUCACUUCCUAAAAGUCAGCCACACAAUGCACAUGGUUUCUCCAUGUGUUUAAAAAUAAAAUGUUUGGGGUAAAAGACCAACAGCCAAAGCUGUUUUGAAGUCAGAAGCAUGUAAACAGUACCUGGAACCAAUAAUAACAAUAACGAUAACAAUAACAAUAAUAAUAAUAAGUCCUUUUGUGCCAUAAAUGUGCACAUUGCUAUCUGUUAUUUCAUUGUGAGACAGCACAACUUCUGAGAAUGUGCCUGAUGAAUAUUUGGGGGAGCUCUGCCUUCAGCUGCAGUGGCGCACAGCAGCACUAAUGCUUCUGGCUUCUCCACUCUCUUAUGUAACCAAAAUCACAAGUUAGAGCCCAAAUUACAAAGCAUAAGCAUGUGUAUAAUAUUAAGCAUACAAAUGGUGCCUGAAAUUACUAUCCUUUUCAUGUAGGUCUGUUUUAAUCUGUUAGAAUUUUUGCUUCUGCAGCUUUAUUGAUUUCAGUGUCUGCUGAUGCAGUUCAUAAUGCAAUCAAGCCUAACCCCUUAAAAACCCCACUGUGAAGACAUUAACCCAAACUUAACUAAGGCCAAAAUCACUCUGGCUACAGGUAGGUGGAGUUCAAAUGACUUUUAUACCUCGAGUGUAUCCUGUAUCUAGAUGCUGUAGCAAGCAGAACACCAUAUCCCUGUGGCUGCUUUGGCAACCAGUCAGAGUGGCAGGUUUCUUCACCCCAGCCCAAGGCAUGAGUUUGCCAUCACCUUCCUUUGAGUUUUCCCUCUUUCUCAGAGACUAUUUUUGCCAUUGCCAUGCUGAUCUACUUGCUGGAGUUUUAAGGUGUUGGAUGCUGAUACAGCGAGUGCCUCUUGUAUCUGUUUAAUCCGAUAACACAACUCUUUUUUAAUCUCCACGUCUGGGUCACAGGUUUAAAAAAGACACUGGGCCAAAUCCCCAGCUUGGCUACAACGUGUGGAAAUGUACUGAGAUGGCACGAAAGUCAGGAGAGAUUCACUGUGUUUGCACCCGGGUAGAGAGAUCUUGAGGGGCAGGGAUGUGAGUGCCAGAUUUCAGAUGGAUGAAUAUUAACCCAAGGCUAUGGCAGAGCUAAUUCAGGUCUCCAUAAGGAGAAAUCUUGUUUUCAUUGUUUGGCUGCUAGAGGGAACAUGAUGUUUCAUGGAGUCAGGACCAAGACUGGGCAUGGACAAAGAGGAGAUUUUGAAGGGAUUGGGAAGAUUUUACAAAUAAACAUUAAAAUUUAAAAAACCAAAACUUCAUCCAGACAUGAAGUCCAGCAGAAAUGUAGGAGAGAAAUGGACAGCACUGUAAAAGAUUGUGUAAGCAAGAAUGGCAAAAACAUGGUCUGAAUAAAUCCAUUGCAGUAAUGAUUUUCUAUACAUGAAUUUCCUACACAAAGUUAUAUGGGGUCAGUCUUUGGGGUUCCCCUGGAUAGCAGAGGAUCCUGAGCCUGAAAAAGGGAAGCAGAUUUUGUGAGGGAUUUGCAUAUCAUGGAGUGACUCUAGAUUGCAGAUUUUAAGCAUUACUAAAUUGGGGAAUAAAUUGUUGCUAUUGCUGUUACAUACCAGGAUAUCUCACUAAUCCACGCAAUCCACUAAGUUGCUGUAGUUUUAGUCUGUGUUUAUUUUAGAUAAAAUUAUGGCCUGGACAGUUAAUUUUUCUUGGUUUAUCCAUAUAAAUCAUAUAUAAAUAAGGUAUCAAACAGAAACCAAAACAUGACCUGUGUUUUUGGUACACUCCCCAUCAUGUGAACCUGCCAGUGAUAGAGCUCUGCACCCGGCUUACAAGACAAACACAAAGGCAAUGAAAAACCACAGAUCUUCUUGAAAAGUAGCCAGUUGGCAUUAAAUUCUCUUGCUUAAUGCUCUGGUUGGCCUAUUUUGCUUAUAUUUGAGACUGCCUAGCCAUUAUGGGAUUGCCUGCACUGGUCCUUUCCUUACAUCAAGCUAAUUACAAAUUAACUUAAGGCACUUAGAAGGGCUGAGAGGCUGGAGCUGGUCCUUUCUGAGUUUGGAAAUGCCCAUUUCUUUACAGUGGCUGAUUCCUAAAGUGAGGGGCAAACACACAGGAGCCAAACAGCCUGGAACCAAAGUGGUCACACUGGCAUUUGAAAAAAGUGAGUGUCUCAAGGUAACUGACAGUCAGCUACCUGGAAAUAAAAGCCUCUCAUAUAUCCAAAGGUUUUCACUGGGAUUUUCAAGAUCUCCUGAGCAAUUUAAAAUCCUUGAAAGGAAUGCACUAUAGAAUGAAAAAUAUAAGUAUUAUUAAAGAAUGUCUCUGAACUGAAAGCCAGCCAGUUUCAUAAAAAUGAGCUAAAAAAGCAAUAACAGGUAGUCUGUCUCCUGCUGGAUGCUGUAUGAACCGUAUGUUUUGUAUUUUGGAAGUCACUCUAAAACA